rnacentral:rRNA from 1 species
AAAUUGAAGAGUUUGAUCAUGGCUCAGAUUGAACGCUGGCGGCAGGCCUAACACAUGCAAGUCGGGCGGUAGCACAGAAGAGCUUGCUCUUUGGGUGACGAGCGGCGGACGGGUGAGUAAUGUCUGGGAAACUGCCUGAUGGAGGGGGAUAACUACUGGAAACGGUAGCUAAUACCGCAUAACCUCGCAAGAGCAAAGAGGGGGACCUUCGGGCCUCUCGCCAUCAGAUGUGCCCAGAUGGGAUUAGCUAGUAGGUGAGGUAAUGGCUCACCUAGGCGACGAUCCCUAGCUGGUCUGAGAGGAUGACCAGCCACACUGGAACUGAGACACGGUCCAGACUCCUACGGGAGGCAGCAGUGGGGAAUAUUGCACAAUGGGCGCAAGCCUGAUGCAGCCAUGCCGCGUGUGUGAAGAAGGCCUUCGGGUUGUAAAGCACUUUCAGCGGGGAGGAAGGCGGUAAGGUUAAUAACCUUAUCGAUUGACGUUACCCGCAGAAGAAGCACCGGCUAACUCCGUGCCAGCAGCCGCGGUAAUACGGAGGGUGCAAGCGUUAAUCGGAAUGACUGGGCGUAAAGCGCACGCAGGCGGUCUGUUAAGUUGGAUGUGAAAUCCCCGGGCUUAACCUGGGAACUGCAUUCAAAACUGACAGGCUAGAGUCUUGUAGAGGGGGGUAGAAUUCCAGGUGUAGCGGUGAAAUGCGUAGAGAUCUGGAGGAAUACCGGUGGCGAAGGCGGCCCCCUGGACAAAGACUGACGCUCAGGUGCGAAAGCGUGGGGAGCAAACAGGAUUAGAUACCCUGGUAGUCCACGCUGUAAACGAUGUCGAUUUGGAGGUUGUGCCCUUGAGGCGUGGCUUCCGGAGCUAACGCGUUAAAUCGACCGCCUGGGGAGUACGGCCGCAAGGUUAAAACUCAAAUGAAUUGACGGGGGCCCGCACAAGCGGUGGAGCAUGUGGUUUAAUUCGAUGCAACGCGAAGAACCUUACCUACUCUUGACAUCCAGAGAAUUUGCUAGAGAUAGCUUAGUGCCUUCGGGAACUCUGAGACAGGUGCUGCAUGGCUGUCGUCAGCUCGUGUUGUGAAAUGUUGGGUUAAGUCCCGCAACGAGCGCAACCCUUAUCCUUUGUUGCCAGCGAUUCGGUCGGGAACUCAAAGGAGACUGCCGGUGAUAAACCGGAGGAAGGUGGGGAUGACGUCAAGUCAUCAUGGCCCUUACGAGUAGGGCUACACACGUGCUACAAUGGCGUAUACAAAGAGAAGCGACCUCGCGAGAGCAAGCGGACCUCAUAAAGUACGUCGUAGUCCGGAUUGGAGUCUGCAACUCGACUCCAUGAAGUCGGAAUCGCUAGUAAUCGUAGAUCAGAAUGCUACGGUGAAUACGUUCCCGGGCCUUGUACACACCGCCCGUCACACCAUGGGAGUGGGUUGCAAAAGAAGUAGGUAGCUUAACCUUCGGGAGGGCGCUUACCACUUUGUGAUUCAUGACUGGGGUGAAGUCGUAACAAGGUAACCGUAGGGGAACCUGCGGUUGGAUCACCUCCUUACCAAGAAG